UCCAUACAAAACAAGUAAACAAGUCUCUGUGACGCAAUCAAGUGUUUGAGGGUUUGUACAUAUUCAACAAGUAAAGGAUUAUACAUUAACGACAAAACUAUGGAGUUUAAACACGCGUGCAUUUAAACACAUAAAGGAAAUACUAUCGGCCCUAGAGAAAUGAAAUUGUUGACGCCGAGAAUCGAGGAAGUUUAGCGAUGUACAGGAGUUUGUUUUAUUUAUAACUGUGGUUUGUGUUGAAGGAUUUCUAUUUUUGUGGAGUGAGGUUACCAUGGUAAUCAUCAUCUGUCAGAUAUUACUGUGUGUAAUAUACACCACAGCGUAUGAAAAUGCAGCAUUACGGAAACCAGCAUGGCAGACACAUAACUGGCCUGAUGCACCUUAUGAUGUGGAAUGGGGCGCAGCGAAGGCUGUGGACGGAAUGUAUACUGACCGCUCAGCAGGAGGAAACCAAUGUACUCAAUCAGGCCCAGGUCAAACAACAGCGAUGUGGAGAGUGGACCUGGAGAGUGUGGUCAGCAUUAGUCACAUUAACAUCUACUAUAGGACGGAAAAUAAACCGAGCCCCGGUGCGUAUUAUAAUCGAUUUGCUGGAUUUUUCCUGUACGUAUCCAACACUACGUCAAAGGAUGACGGCCAUCGUUGUUUCCAUGAGAUACAGCCUGUGACCGGAACUCCAGUAGAGAACCAGACAAUAAGCUGUUCUGUUCAUGGACGAUAUGUGAUAUACUACAACGAACGGAAACCGGGUGUUACCUACCCUAGCUACUACUCACGAGACGCAUAUAAUGAACUAUGUGAAGUGGAAGUUCAUGGGUGCUCUGACCCAACAUUUUACGGAAAGAACUGUGACCAACCGUGUCCCGAUAAAUGUCAAGAGAAGAGGUGUAACAUCAGUACGGGAUACUGUCUGGGCUGUAUACCGGGUUAUCAAGGUCUUCGCUGUAGUCAAGUGUGUGAUAAACAGGCGUAUGGGCUGGGAUGUUCGUCAUCAUGUGGGAACUGUAGCGAUGGGGAGCCAUGCCACUAUCAAAACGGCACGUGCCCUCGGGGAUGUAAUGCAGGGGUAUAUGGGGAGAAAUGCCAAAUACCAUGCCAAACUGGUUUUUAUGGAAAGAACUGCGGACAUAGAUGCAGUGAGAACUGUGAAGUGACAAACCGUUGUAGCAGAUUUACUGGGGAGUGUGACGGGGGCUGUAAACCGGGAUGGAAGAUGCCAACAUGUCAGCGAGAAUGUGACGAUGGGAUGUACGGCGCAGGCUGCACACAGAAAUGUGGCUCCUGUCUAGACAACAAACAGUGUCAUCAUGUUAACGGCACGUGUUUGAAUGGUUGUUCUUCAGGAUACCAGGGAGGACAUUGCAAGGAGAACUGUCCCAGUGGAUAUUUCGGUAUCAAUUGUGAAAACAGCUGUACCGUGCACUGUGGUAGAAAUGGUAGUUGUGAUCAGACCACCGGGAUAUGUGAUGGAGGAUGUGAGGAGGGGUGGAGCGGGCCUCUCUGUGGUACAGAAGAGUUAUCAUCCCGCGUUACAAGUUGUACAGAUGACAACACCGCCACCAUCAUAAGUAUUGUAGUAUCUAUUUUUAUAGUGCUUAUUGGAAGUAUCAUCAACUUCCUGAUGUGGAAGAGAAAUCAGACAGAAUACGCAAAGAAAGGAGAAAAUUGUAGAAGUGAAACAAGGAGUGCUCACAAUUCAGUGGAGUGACGGGAUGCUAUAAACAAUGGAGAACCACAUUUGCACAAAUUCAGCACUUGACAUUAUAUAUUCUUGCACAACGUUACUCACCGUCAACUCGUGCUACAUUUUAUUCAUAUGUGGAAUGUUUAUUUACUUUCCGAGCUCCAGAUAAGGGGGAAGGGUUGCUCAAUUAUGCUUUGUGAAAUACGCAGUGGAAAUAAAACUGAGUACACAUACACAUUGAAUUUGUAGAUAUGCAUAACACUCUGAAAUAUAUUUUCUUCCUAUAAAAUACUCAUGAUUUUGAAAACGAAUUAAAAUUAACAUUGAUUUCUGAAUUUUCUUGAAAGGCAUAUAGAUUAACAUACAUAUCUUCGUACAUUUUGCUGGUAGUCUGAAAUAAACUAUGCAUUUAUUUAAAAGUUUGGGGAGGGGAGUGUGUACUACACUUUGUCUUUGAAAAAAUACCGUUAGGAUCUCGGGACUUUCAUAAAAACAUUAACAAGAGAGGACUGCAAGUUCGUUUUCACUGAUAAGAGAUGGAAUUCUCAUUGGUUUCUGUUUUCAAUUUCCAUUUUCCUAGUAAACUCAAAAAAGAAAAAAAAGAUACUUCCGAAUUCUGGAAACUUUCAAAGUGAAGUCAUGGUCCUAUGGUUGUUAGUUCUUUAAAUUUUGAUUUGGAUAACAUGGAGUGGCAUAUGUUAUUUCGACAUUUAGUCCUUAUCAUGUAAAUUAUAUAUGUCUUGUGUAAUAUAUCAGCGAUAUGUCAAUUGCAGAAAUGUAAUUUUUAUGGAAGGAGCACUUGACCCCUUGUAUUUUAAAUUAUUAAACAUAUGGGAUACUUGCUUAUAAUCACUUGUACGAUUGACCAUAUCUCUGACACGUGUCACAAAACUGUGGUAAACAGUAACGUCAACCAAUCUGCAGUUUUUUUUCAUCUAAUGAGGCGGACAUUCAUGUUUCUUAAUUUAUAUGAGUUAGGGUAGAUAACAUUUUAAAACUUGAUACCACAUGCUAAUUCUACUUUCGCUUUUUAAAUCAUGAAAUAAUUUGCUACAGAUGAAAAUAAAUUACUUGCUUAUUUGGUCAAAGUAAAAAUUGUACUUCAGAUUUUGUGUCUCACCCAAAAUCACGACUAUGAAGCAUGCGUCUCAUACGGUUAAAAUAUUGUGUAAUGGAACAUAAUGAUCGGCGUGUCAGUUUCCAGAAAAACCUUUUAAAGAUGCUUUCACGGACAAGUGAACUUUGAUUAUUGUAUCCAGUCACCUGUAGUAUAAGCUGUUGUGAUUUCUGAGAAUUGUAAACGCCGAAAAUGUCACUUUGAUACCACGUUUACUGCAUGCAUUUGAAUUUGAGAUGUAAUGCAGUAUCAGUUACCUAUGCUGUUACGUUUGUUUUCUGCAAUUUCUUUUAUAAAUCAACAUCUCGCAUUAAAACUCGGGUCAAAUUGUUUUAUUUCAUUCUCAGAUAUACCAAGCGGUUCAAAUCGUGUUGAAUCCCCGUAUGCAGAACUGGGAGACCGUGACAAACCGAACACGUACGAGGAACUUCACCAUUAUACCGACUCUAAUGGGAAAGUCUAAGACGAGUUAUAUGUACUGCUGUUAUUUCCAC